AGGCCCGGAGUGCGGAGAAGAAAGCCCCCCCCCCCCCCGGUGAAAAUGGAUGCCCGGAACGACUAACCCUCCCCACUGGACGGUCCCUGCAGCAUAGAUGGCCCAGACCAGCUCACCCUUUCUUCCCACCGAGGGGAGACCUGCAUUGAAAAUUAUGCCCUGUAGCUGCCUCUGCUAUACAUCAGAAGUAGGAAACUUCAGUUCUUCUGUGCAGUUGUGCAUAUUUACUGAGGCGUCUUGAGUGAAGAUUGUGCACAUACCGUUAAUCCAUCUGCCUACCUUGGUUACACGCUUAGAUGAAAUCACUGCUUCCAAGAUCUUAACCUUUCAAGUUAAAAUGUUUCUUUCCAAUGCUGGCUGCUGGCAAGAGAACGCUGGCUCGGAAAUUCCUUGGUGUUUUGAAAAUACCCAGUAAGCCAGCAACUUUGAAAAAUGGUCCCAAAAGCUAUAUCAAUCUGGAAUAGCUCAAAAACUCCAUAGUUUUUGGAUUCAAAGACAUCAGGAUAACAUGGGAAGAAAUAUUUUGAAUGACAAGAACGAAGGAAGAAUCAGGAACUGUAUCUAGAGGAUCUGAAAGUGACCGGUUGAGUGUUUGUUAA